AAUUGGGUAAUGCUCAGCCUAGACCUAGGCCUUCUAGUCUUAUUUAUAUUUCUUAAUAUUCAGCGCUGAAUAUUAAAAAAAAUAAUAAAAUAUAAAUAAAAAUAGAAGGCCUAGGUCUAGGCUGGGUAAUGCUAACUAAUU
rnacentral:miRNA from 1 species